ensembl:rRNA 5S_rRNA 5S ribosomal RNA
GUCUAUAGCUAUCUACCCUGAAGGCUCCUAAUCUUGUCUGAUUUUAGAAGCUAAGUAGGGUCAGGCCUGGUUAGUAGUUGGAUGGGAGACCUCCUGGGAAUACAGGGUGCUAUAGGCC